CAGGCUGGCGUGCAGUGACAGGAUCACAGCUCACUACAGCCUUGAAUUCCUGGGCUCAAGCGAUCCUCCUGCCUCAGCCUCCUAAGUAGCUGGGAUUACAGGAUUUGGCUAAACAUGUUCGGGCUCUCAGCAUUCUUUCACCCCUCCCUUCAGAGGAAACACGGAGAUGCCCUGACUUGGAGUUGAGAGAUCUGGUCUCUGGUCCUGAUGCCAUCACUAACAGGCAAUGGAAGCUUCAGCAAGUCCCUCCACUGGUCUGUGCCUCCAUUCCCCAUCUGUAAAGAGGAUCGCUGGUCCCUAUCACCCCCCUGGGAUGUAGUGAGGCUUGUCAUGUGGCAAGGGAAAGCACCUGGGACAAAGCAAGGUCUUAUGCCAAUGCUUUCUGUAGCAUCAUCCUGGAGCCUCAAGUCUUGUUUGAAAUUGAAUAAAGGAGAAACAUAGGGACGA
ensembl:lncRNA novel transcript